rnacentral:rRNA from 1 species
UACGGAGGGUGCAAGCGUUGUUCGGAUUCACUGGGUAUAAAGGGUGCGUAGGCGGCCUUGUAAGUCAGAGGUGAAAGCUGUCGGCUCAACUGACAAAUUGCCUUUGAGACUGCAAGGCUUGAGUCCGGGAGAGGAAGGCGGAAUUCCAGGUGUAGCGGUGAAAUGCGUAAAUAUCUGGAGGAACACCGGUGGCGAAGGCGGCCUUCUGGUCCGGAACUGACGCUGAGGCACGAAAGCCAGGGGAGCAAACGGG